rnacentral:rRNA from 1 species
UACGUAGGGGGCAAGCGUUGUCCGGAUUUAUUGGGCGUAAAGAGCGUGUAGGCGGCCUGACAGGUCUGCUGUGAAAACUCGAGGCUCAACCUCGAGAUGUCGGCGGAAACCGUCUGGCUAGAGUCCGGAAGAGGAGAGUGGAAUUCCUGGUGUAGCGGUGAAAUGCGCAGAUAUCAGGAAGAACACCUAUGGCGAAGGCAGCUCUCUGGGACGGUACUGACGCUGAGACGCGAAAGCGUGGGGAGCAAACAGGG